UACGUAAGGGGCGAGCGUUGUUCGGAUUUAUUGGGCGUAAAGGGCGCGCAGGCGGUUACGCAAGUCUGGUGUGAAAGGCGCAGGCUCAACCUGCGGUAUGCGCUGGAAACUGUGUGACUUGAGUUAUGGAGGGGGAGCUGGAAUUCCAGGUGUAGGGGUGAAAUCUGUAGAUAUCUGGAAGAACACCGGUGGCGAAGGCGAGCUCCUGGCCAAUGACUGACGCUGAGGCGCGAAAGCGUGGGGAGCGAACAGG
rnacentral:rRNA from 1 species